UACGUAGGGGGCGAGCGUUGUCCGGAUUUAUUGGGCGUAAAGAGCGUGUAGGCGGCCAGGUAGGUCUGCUGUGAAAACUCGAGGCUCAACCUCGAGACGUCGGCGGAAACCAUCUGGCUAGAGUCCGGAAGAGGCGAGUGGAAUUCCCGGUGUAGCAGUGAAAUGCGUAGAGAUCGGGAGGAACACCAGUGGCGAAGGCGGCUACCUGGACCAGCACUGACACUGAAGCGCGAAAGCGUGGGGAGCAAACAGG
rnacentral:rRNA from 1 species